CUCUCUCACGUGCAGGCAACUUCCUAGGCAGGAAACGGACACAAGGGAGCUGCAUCUGCGACCGUUGGACUAGCAUCCACUUCCCGACCCAGCACACGCCCCUCGGCGGGGGGUGAGGUGGGGCGCAACAUAGAGAAGCCAGCUCUAUGAAGCCAUGGUGCAUCUUGCUUAGACAUAGGCAGGGCUGGGGUGGGAGCAGGAUCCGGGCUGUCGCUCCGGGUGUCAGCCGCACAGGAGGCCACAUAGUGCUGCACAAGGCUGACCACGUCUGGGAAGGCCAGGAUUCGAGGUCUUGACAAGCAGUUAGAGUCCAGCCGGAAGCUAGAAUCGGCAUACUCGAUCCGCACGUUGGUGGGGCCACGGGUGGUUUUGACUGACAGCGUGAACAGGUAGCUGGGGUGGGUGCUGUCUCGAACUAGGAAUGUACCCUCCGGCAUCUUCUGUAGGUGCUGCCGGGCCUCGCUGGCUGUAAUGGAAC
rnacentral:lncRNA from 1 species